rnacentral:rRNA from 1 species
AAAGAUAUUGAAUUUAACUUUUAAGUGAAAAGGCUUAAAUGAUUUGAAGGGACGAUAAGACCCUAUAAAACUUUAUAUUUAAGGAUGUAGAUUAUUUUUAUUUGUGGAUUAUUAUCUAAAAAUAUUUGGUUGGGGCGACGAGGAUAGAAUAUUAAGUAACUGUCUUUUUUUAAAACAGUAAUAUUUGAUUUAAUGAUCCUAAAAGGGAUUAAAGAUUAAGUUACUUUAGGGAUAACAGCGUAAUUUUCUUUGAGAGUUCUUAUCGACAAGAGAGUUUGCGACCUCGAUGUUGAAUUAAAAGUUCUUUAUAGAGUAGAGACUAUAAUAGAAGGUCUGUUCGACCUUUAAACUU